rnacentral:rRNA from 1 species
AUGCCACCAUGCAAACUAAACGGAGGGCAAGAGAGCAGGACGCAACUCUACCUGGAAAUGCUUCUAGCCAGCGACAGAAGUAAGUUGGUCGGAGCCAAAGAGGGGAAUGCCAAAGAAGCCAAGCAUGCCGACGAGGAUGAGGUAACCGGUGAUCGUAUCCUGGUUCUCCUUGAUCUUGCCCUCGAAGUUCUUCCACUCCAGGUUGUCCUGCUGCAGCUCGUCCUACACCGCCUAGAAACAAACAAUUCAGAUGAACAACUGCAUAGAUCAUACCUUGUUUGCUUAUCUAGACCAGACACUACUACUAUUUGUGAAUAUAGCGAAUGUAAAAACAAUGUAAAUGGUGAACAACACUUGAGAAUAUAUCAACAGAUUAAGAGCAUAUUGUUUAGCAUCACACAGAUAGUAGCACAAUGCUACAUGCAACUAUUAGGAUAA